AUACGGAGGGUGCAAGCGUUACUCGGGAUCACUGGGCGUAAAGCGCGCGCAGGCGGCUAUUUAAGUUGGAUGUGAAAGCCUAUGGCUCAACCAUAGAACUGCAUCCAAAACUAUUUAGCUAGAGUGUGGGAGAGGAAGAUGGAAUUAGUUGCGUAGGGGUAAAAUCCGUAGAGAUAACUAGGAAUACCAAAAGCGAAGGCAAUCUUCUGGAACACUACUGACGCUGAGGCGCGAAAGCGUGGGGAGCAAACAGGAUUAGAAACCCUAGUAGUCC
rnacentral:rRNA from 1 species